UAUGGUAAUCCAUCCUAUUUU
rnacentral:piRNA from 1 species